rnacentral:lncRNA from 1 species
AACGGAAAAAAAACCACCUGGCAUAUAUAUUUAGCUCCUCAGACGGGUUUUACUUACUUAAAAAUAAAAACAUAUUUCCAGCUGGAUUCCCAUUCUUCAUAUCUUCAUUGAUCUUGGUAUGGUCAAAAGCACAAGUGAACUUGCAUUUCAGCCAGAGAUCCUGUCUUUUAACAGCCAGAUCGUCACAUGGCAACUAGAAAUUCAGAACCCUCCCCAAAAUUUGCUGGAAAUCCUCAAGGGAUUACCAGCUAGACAAACAACUGGAUAAAAUGUGUCCAAGGUGAUAAGAACCCAGAGGACAUGCGCAGAACUCAGAACCCAAAAAGACUUCACCGCUCCUGAGCACUGUUGGUGGAACCAAUCAGAAAGGGAUAUUUUCAGUCCUUCAUUUGAAUCUGGUGCUGUUCUUAGAACCAAUCAGAAAAGUGCUCUUUUCAGUCCUUCAUUUAUAACUGGUGUUGUGAGACGGUCUACCAGCGCCUGCUCUCACCUUGACGAAAGUACUUCUUUUCUACCUUCAUUGAAUGAACACCGGAUCUGGAAUUUAGUUCAGUGGUGCUGCCGCCUGCCUCACAAGCUCAAGGACCCAAGUUUCAUCCCCCGUAACAAACAAACAAAAAAAAGCAAAACAAACAAAAACAAAAACAAAAACAAAAAAACAAAUGAAAAGAUAAAUAAAUAAAUAGAUAAAUGAACACCUC